UCCCAGGUGGCUCAUUGGUAAAGAAUCUGUCUGCCAAACAGGAGACCUGGGUUCAAUCCCUGGGUUGGGAA
rnacentral:tRNA from 1 species